ensembl:lncRNA
GGGCUGGGUUGGAGAAACGCUGGCCUGUGGGCAGCUGCUGUGUCCUUUGUGUCUGCUGUGGCCUGCCGACACGUCCUCAGGGGACUGGCCUCAGCCUGCCCCGUCCUCUGUGACCUAGGUUAAAUGCAACCCGUGUCACUCACAGUGGCAGUGGGCUCAUCUGCACUGGCAGCAUCCUGUCCAGGUCCUGUUGCCAGGUGUGCUGCAGGACCCGGUGUGUUCACAGCUGGGUGGUCCAGGAUGCCUCCAGGACCCACAGGCUGCUGAGCCAUACCCUAUGCAUGGUGGAAUCCUUCAAACACAAGGAAGAGAUUUCCGAAACAUUCCAUGCUCACGACCCAGUGGAAAACACACAGCUCCCCUUUACCCUCAGGCUGAGUCCCUCUCAAAGCUUGGCCUUGCUGCCUCAUAAUGUCAUGGGAAGUAUGAAAUAUGAAAUAUUACAUCUCCCAACCUAUUAACUGUAUGAUACGCCGAGUUCUUGUUCUCUAGAAAUUGAUGAAUGAGUUCUAGGAACGACGGAGGUUAAGGAUAGGAAGAUAUUCAUUGGUAGGAAGGCUCCUGAGGGGCAGGAGUGGGCAGCCGGGGACCCCACUUUACAGAGGAGUUUUAUAGGGUGAAACCCACAUGGGUACAACGUGGGCCAAAGCCAUGAUCAUCCAAUAAGGUUACAAGUGCAGUCACUUAGGUAACGGUGGUCCAAUUGGGAAGCGAGUCAGGCAACAAGCGCGGAUGGAAAGAACAAGGAUCCUCCUAGGGGCAGUGGGUCCAGAGCUCUCUGGUCACCCCCAGGGUGGUCGAUGCCUAUCUAGACUUCACCAAGCCCAGUUCUUUGAAGACGUAUGUCGGUCUGGUCAUCUUGUCUCCAUCUUGAGGCCUGGUUUUCAGCCGAUGUGCAGCUAUGCUGUGUUUCACCUUGUCCUGGCCCUCCCGAGGACUCAGCCCUAUCCGACUGCCUGUAGUAUGUCUACCUAGCUCAUCUAUCUAUAGCAGUACUUCCUGACCUGGGUCUCAGUCUGUUUCCACUGGGUCCGACGCCUGGUGUGGACAGCCCAGCCUCAGAGAACCAGCCCGGGCUUUGCUUCCUGCCCUCCCCCGGACUUCAGGAGCAUCUCAGAGUCCGUCGCCUCUGCCAACUCCGAGCUAGCCGGCCCACCAUCCGCUUCACACCUGAAGGAGCCUGCAGGCUGACUCCGCCACUUUCGCAUGCUCCGUUACCCUGGGCUCUUCGACAGGCCAGCUCUCAGGGCCAACCUGGGCUCCGACUCCGAGAGCCGGGCCUAGACCCUUGGCGGCCUCUGCUCUUCCUGGGCCAGAUAAGAGUUCUUCUACCGAGUUCUAAAAGAAGUUUGGACAACGUGGCCACAGUAUUUGGUGAGAACCCCUGGUGCCCAACAUCCGGGCCAUGGGGAGGCUGCGCCGUGUCGGCCUGGGUCCGUCCCUUUCUCCUGCGGAUGAAUUCAGCUGUUCCCUUCAUCCUCGCUAAGCGGCCUCGUUCUCCUGUGAACUGGGAUCCUCUGCCAGUGCAUCGCCUUCCCGCAGACGGGCGUCCUCCUGCGCCCAAGCCGGGACUAAGUCCCAGACGCAGACUGACAAAUUCCAGAUUCACACCCCAAACGCCCAGACAUUCCCAGCUCCAAACUGCAGUGUGCCUGUCUAUCUCUCGAGGGCGCGAACUCUCUUUCUUUGAGUGCACAUUUUUGAAAAUUCCCUCUAAUAAAUCCCUUUUCUAUCUCUUACUGACCCAUCCUGAAAAUCCUCACUCAGGGACCGGAGCCUGCGGUCCUGCACCCAGU